UCACGAUGAGAGUUGGGUAUUGUUUGGACUUUUACGAUUUCCACUGUACUUUUAAUACGAUUCCAAUUCCUAAACCGAUUCUUCAAAAACUGAAAAAUGACAUAAAAAAGGCUCUUUUAUAGAGUUUUGUUUGUUUUUAAUUGAAAAUUAUUUCAAUUUAACAAUAUAUUAACAUUUUAAUGUACUUAAAUAUAUAAGUAAACCUAAGUCACCUAACAAACAACUACAGUUAUUUACCAAUAAAUAACAGUUACACUCU